rnacentral:tRNA from 1 species
GCCUUCGUGGUGUAGUGGUCAGCACGUUUGACAUGUAACCGAGAGGUCCGUGGUUCGAUUCUCGGCGAGGGCU